GCCAGCAUGGUGUAGUGGCAUAACACUGGACUAUGACUCUGGAGACCAGGGUUUGGUUCCCUGUUCAGCCA